UACGAAGGGGACUAGCGUUGUUCGGAAUUACUGGGCGUAAAGCGCACGUAGGCGGAUUUGUUAGUCAGGGGUGAAAUCCCGGGGCUCAACCUCGGAACUGCCUUUGAUACUGCAAGUCUCGAGUCCGAUAGAGGUGGGUGAAAUUCCUAGUGUAGAGGUGAAAUUCGUAGAUAUUAGGAAGAACACCGGUGGCGAAGGCGGCCCACUGGAUCGGUACUGACGCUGAGGUGCGAAAGCGUGGGGAGCAAACAGG
rnacentral:rRNA from 1 species